rnacentral:lncRNA from 1 species
CCAGUGGCUGCCCUAAAGCCGGCUCUCCAGGGCCGCGGAGCCUUCGCUCCCUUCCUGAAUGCCUUUUUUGUUGGGAAACAGUGGACUGUUUCUGAAGGCCUGCAUAAAUGACUGAGUAAUUCACUGCAGUUGCCAGGAAGUCGGAGCCACUUGUGAGCUAACAAUAGUGAACUUUAUCUCCCGCCCCAUGCUGGAAGUUCCAGCUGUAGGUCCCGAAUUCUAAUAAGGGCUUUGCUCAUGCCUCUGAGGUUAUGGUAAUAUUUUAUCCAUCUUUCUUCAUGAAGACACAGUCGCUGCUGCUAUUGACAACCGGAGGCCAGCACUGAGGAGUGACGUGGGCAGGGGGCCAGGGGAGACUCUAAACUGACGUAGAGGAGAGAAGAGAAAGAUUUCACUCUGACCCAUAAGUGGCUGGAGCGGAAAGAUGGCUUCGGACAUUUCCCGUGUUUCAGACGCUGCUCCUCCUCCUCCUCCUCCUCCUCAGCAGACGAACCGGCAGCCGAGGCUGAUCACGUGCUCAGAAUUAGUCCUUCCCACGAAAAUAAACCAGUGAAACCACCUGUGAGCCACACGUGCAGUUCACAAGAUGACAGAGGACACCACAAUCUGCAAGAUUACUUCAACACAGAGAAGGAGACCAAAUUUCAGCUAAGCCCCUGUCACCACCACUGGGAGCUUCUGGGCAAGGGGUCCGCAAGGUUUAUGUGACUUUGUGGAAAAAAAAACAAACAAAAACACAGGAUGAGGGUGCCUUAGAUGAGGCAAAGACCAUCUGGCCUCAAAAAGAAAAAUCCAUUCCUGGAUGCUGAAGGACUGGUGAUGGAUGGCUCAGGCCUUGGUAGUUCAGAGCAACAGCCACCUGGAAGGGACUUUGAACAUGAGUCAGGCAGGAAGAGGCAGCCCCAGAGGUGGGCUUCUCCUGGAGAAGAUGCACAAAGAAGGAAUGGAAACCACCAGGGACAUGUCACGAAGGAGAAGGGAGGAACCGAGGGGGACCUACAGAGAUGAGAGAUGACAGCAUAGCAGACCCAGCAAACCAUCUCUUUCCCUCCAUCAUCACUACCACCAUCCACCAAGGAAACCAAACCAAAGAAGACAGAUGUACCAAAAAGUGCACUCUCAUGUUAGAAAUCACACCCAUGAAAUGAACAGGAAGAGAAAAUGUGGACCACAUUCACAGGAAACUGUAAUAAGAAAAUAGAAAAUGUGAACCAACAGAUAGAAGCUGUGAAAAAAAAAUCAAGCAUGAAACAGAAGAAAAUUGUCACAGAAGUAUCAAAACUGAAUUAAAUAGACACAAAAAAGAAUUUGAAGAUAAGGAAAUACUUUAGAUCGAAAAUUUAAAAAUAAAAAUAGAGGCAGGAAACAGAACAAAAAAAUAAAACAAGAGUUAAGGAAAUGCAAGGACAGAAAAGAGAGUAAAAUGUUAGAAUCUUAAAGGAAAUGAAGGCUAAAUUACCAAAGAUGACCAAAGAAGAAUAGACUCAAAUAAAAGCUUAAUAAGGGUCAUGGAAAAAUUAAGAAACACAAUCAAGAGGAUAACAUAAAGAUAUAAAGAAGAUGGAUAAAAAGAGUGAAAGAGAAAAUGGUUGAAAUGUUGGAGAAGAAAGAUGCAACAUUUGUGCUGGUUACUUUUAUGUUUCAACUUGGUGAGGCUGUAGAAACCAGUCACUUAAACACUAACCCAGGUUUUGCUGUGAAGGUGUUUUGUAGAUGUAGGUUAACAUCUAUAAUCAAUUGACUUUAAAGUAAAGAAAGUAACUCUGGAUAAGGUGGUGAGCCUCACCUAAUCAGUUGAGGAAGUAAGAGAAAAACCUGAGGUUUCCCAGAAAAGAAUAAAUUGUGCCUCAAGUUUGCAGCAUCAACUCUUGGUGAGUUCCCGGCAGUUGGUCUGCUUUGCACAUUUUUCUCAUGCCAGCGUCACAAUCGUGCAAUCUACUUCCUUCAAACAAAUUUUCAUGUAUCCUAUUGUUUAUCUUUUCUCUGGAGAACCCUAAUACAAUAUGUGUAUGAGUGUGCAUGUGUGUGUGUGUGUGUAUGAUUGAAAUCUCUGAAGAAAAAAAAAACAACGUGGUAGAGCUAAUAUUUAAAAUUAUAAUUCAAGAAAUAAAAAAAUAAAACACUGUAUUAAAAAAUCUGAGUUACAUUUAAAGCAGCAAUAAUAGAAAAUUUAUGCCCUAGCAUCCAUGUCAAUAAAAAUAAAAGAAUGAGAAAAAAGACUUGCAAUCCUAAGUAAAA